GACGAACGCUGGCGGCGUGCUUAACACAUGCAAGUCGAACGGGUCUGCCCUGUUUUUUGCGGGGUGGGUCAGUGGCGAACGGGUGAGUAACACGUGAGUAACCUGCCCCUCACUUCUGGAUAACCGCUUGAAAGGGUGGCUAAUACGGGGUGUUCUGGCUGUGCCGCAUGGUGUGGCUGGGAAAGAUUCACUUUUGUGGUGUUUUGGUGGGGGAUGUGCUCGCGGCCUAUCAGCUUGUUGGUGGGGUGAUGGCCUGCCAAGGCUUUGACGGGUAGCCGGCCUGAGAGGGUGGGCGGUCACACUGGGACUGAGAUACGGCCCAGACUCCUGCGGGAGGCAGCAGUGGGGGGUAUUGCACAAUGGGCGGAAGCCUGAUGCAGCGACGUCGCGUGAGGGAUGGAGGCCUUCGGGUUGUGAACCUCUUUCGCCGGUGAAGAAGGUCCUGCUCUUUGUGGUGGGGUUGACGGUAGCCGGGUUAUGAAGCGCCGGCUAACUACGUG
rnacentral:rRNA from 1 species